rnacentral:rRNA from 1 species
AGAGUUUGAUCAUGGCUCAGAACGAACGCUGGCGGCAGGCCUAACACAUGCAAGUCGAACGUGAAGCCACCUUCGGGUGGUGGAAAGUGGCAGACGGGUGAGUAACGCGUGGGAACGUGCCUUUCGGUUCGGAAUAACCCAGGGAAACUUGGGCUAAUACCGGAUACGCCCUUCGGGGGAAAGAUUCAUCGCCGAAAGAUCGGCCCGCGUCGGAUUAGCUAGUUGGUAGGGUAAUGGCCUACCAAGGCGACGAUCCGUAGCUGGUCUGAGAGGAUGACCAGCCACACUGGGACUGAGACACGGCCCAGACUCCUACGGGAGGCAGCAGUGGGGAAUAUUGGACAAUGGGCGAAAGCCUGAUCCAGCCAUGCCGCGUGGGUGAAGAAGGCCCUAGGGUUGUAAACCCCUUUCAGCGGGGAAGAUAAUGACGGUACCCGCAGAAGAAGCCCCGGCUAACUCCGUGCCAGCAGCCGCGGUAAUACGGAGGGGGCUAGCGUUGUUCGGAAUUACUGGGCGUAAAGCGCGCGUAGGCGGAUCUGCAAGUCGGGGGUGAAAUCCCGAGGCUCAACCUCGGAACUGCCUUCGAUACUGCGGGUCUCGAGUCCGGGAGAGGUGAGUGGAAUUCCUAGUGUAGAGGUGAAAUUCGUAGAUAUUAGGAAGAACACCAGUGGCGAAGGCGGCUCACUGGCCCGGUACUGACGCUGAGGCGCGAAAGCGUGGGGAGCAAACAGGAUUAGAUACCCUAGUAGUCC